rnacentral:lncRNA from 1 species
GGGAAGGAUAAGUGAACAGUAUAUAGUAUAUAGAGCUUUGUUAUCAAUGAUAUAUUUAGAUUUAUUCAUUAUGGCUGAAAUCUUUGCAACUUUAGUUUUAAUUUUUAUGAUGUGAGGUUUCCAGCUGAUUUUAUGAUCGAGUGUUACACCAGGAAAUGUUUGUUCAUAGACUCUUUCAAUAGUUUCGUUGCCAAUUUUAACUGGUAAUUGUACAUUCAUUACACGAUUUCCAAAGAACUCUGAAAACAUCAUCUGAGUAUCUCAACACUGGCCCGAACACUUAACACAUUUUGAUGUCGGAUGUGAUUGUGUUGCAGGUGAAGAGGAAAGAGCCGCUGGAGCUGGAGGAGGGAGACAUGAAACGACCGCGACCCCAGACGCCGCCAGAAGACCAAGCCGAGCGGAGGCGGCCGGACGAGCGACUCGCUGCCGAGAGGGACAAUAAGCGGCGGAAGAAGAAGCCGCGGAACAGGAAGCCGUGGGAACUGGACUCGGAAGGAGAGGAGACAUCGGACGAGUCGUCGUCGGAGAAGGACGAGGAGGAAAGUGAGAAAGACUCGGACGACGAGGCGCUGAGUGCGGACAGCGACGACGAGAGCCUGUCCUCCUCCUCCGGCUCCUCUUCGUCGUCUUCGUCUGACAGCGAGGACGAGGAGCGUCUGAGCGAAGGCCUGGACACCAUGGACGACUCCACCAUGGACAGCACGGCGGACAGAGACAGGAGUAAAACGGCCAGAGCCAACGCCGACGUUCAAAUGGG